rnacentral:lncRNA from 1 species
UACCCAUCACAGAAGUGUGGUCCAGCUAGGACAAUUCAAGUAUAUUUUAUGAUUUAUAAUCCUUUGUAAUAAAUUCCAUUUUUUUAUGAAUGUGUAUUUAGAAUUAUCUUAAUUUUUUGUAUGAGAAUAAUGUUCCUUGUUUUCCGUACGAACAUAUUAAAUUAAAACAAUUCUUAAUAUGACAAAAAGGAAAACAUAUGGCCAGGAAUAUCUGACAAGGAUCUCGAUUAAGGACUAGGUCCUAACAACCACUUAACCUUUUAUAUAAUAUGGUACAUAGACUCAGCUCUGUAAUUCUUUUCAAAGCAGAACCAAAUGCAUUGUACAAUGAAAGUUCCAAC